GAUGGAAAAGUUAACCGGUCGCCCACCUCCCCCGGAUGUAAAAAAAAACAGCCCACUGCCCCGGUCCGUUCCUCUCUUCCUCUCCUCCCAAUCUCCCAUCCCCUCAUCCGGAGGCAGCGGCAGCGACGGCACCGGAGGGACGACCCGGCGGCGAGGACUACCUCUCUGGCACGCGGAGUACUUCCUUUCCUCUCUCAUGCGGUAGGGACUCAGAGGCGCCGUGGGUGGUGUAAGGUCCGGGCGAGCUCAGCAGCGACAACGGCCUUCUCCGGCGUCCCUCUCCACCGCCGGCGGUAUUAUCGCUAGCAAACGAGGAAUUGGAAUUCUGCCAAGCAAUCUAGGAGUAGAAGAAUAUGUAUGCAAGGGACUUGGAGACGAGGCAAUGGUGCGCUGGUGAGAACACUAUUGUUCUGAUGCGUUAGGAUUAGGAUUGGGGUUCGGCUGCUCUUCAGUUUGUUAUAUCAAGGUUUUGAAGCUUUGGGAGCCUGCGGCCGGUUCGGUGGAUGACAUCAGCAAGCGCCGGCCCGCCUCGGCACAGCUGCGGGUGGUUAUAUGGUGGGCGGAGCACACGAGUGAGCUUCGAUGUCAGGGUACGGUGGCAAGCUAAAUCCUGAGUCCAGCUAGGCUUUUUUUCCGUUCAGAUUUUGUUACUGUUUUCCAUUCGGGAUUUCAUGGUGAGCAAACCUAGAAUUUGCAGUUGUUUGUUUCAGAAAUUCAUGUCCUGACAUCAAAUUUCGUUUGUAAGGUAUACGUUCCACAUGCUUGUGAGGUACACAUUUCGUAGGUCCAGAUGUAAGUGUUUGCUUGAUUUGUCGCUCAAGUUUCAUGUUCAAAUGAUGCUCCUUGACUUCAAUACAAUGUUGGUAUGUAGGAUGACUAUCUAUGCAACUUAUCAUGCACAAAUUAAAAAAUGCUUGGCUCCUCUUCUGCAUGUCUCCAAGGAAUAAUUUCUGAUGUAUAAUGAGAUAAUGAUUAUUUCUUUUUAUUUCUUAUCAUGCGGCUAGUUGCUACAAAAAAUUAACACAUACAUCGCCACUUAUCAUUAAAACAAAAUCAUAUCUGCCAAGUUUCUACAUUCCGUCGAAGCUUGCAGAUUUACCAUCUAUUUUGGUACAUUAUUGAAACAAAUCGUAACCAUGGAUUCUAUAUGGAAGAUCGAAAUAUCAUUUUUACAUUAGGUUCAUGUACUGUAAGGAAUCGACUUUGUUCAUCUUCAACCCAUUUUCCUAUCUUGCAAAGCUGUCCAUUAAAGUAUGGUCAAUUUAUACUCUAUGACUUAAUACAUUUGUAACACUGUCAUAGUGCCAUUGACAUGCUCUUUUUUCACUCCAUUUCAUAUUGAUUCAUCUACAUGGUUAUAUGCAUGCUUUUGCAUACAUAACUUAUCCAGUCCGCUAUUGAUCAUUUCAAUUUUUCAUCCCGGCAGUACGCUGAUAGCCUAACUAGUCUGCUAUUGAUCAUUUCCAUUUUCAUCCCGGCAGUAUGCCGAUAUCUAUAAGCAAGCCAAUAGUUCCAAAACGUUGCUUCACAAUUACUCGGCAGUAUUUGUCUAUUUGAGCAGCACAUAGCUGGCUUCGGUGGGUAGCAUGGCAUGUCCAUUCUCAAUUGAAGUUGGUCUGAAAAUAUCGAACUCUGCCAUGAAGUAGAAAAGAUAGCCACCGUCCAUAGCUCUCAGGUGAAUGUGGCAAGGCCAAAAAACAAGUUUUCCAUUGCCGGAUAUCCAACAGAUCAACUGGUGUUAUGGAUGCUUCUUAUAGAUAUUUUGUUGCCAUUUCAAACAUCAAACACCAACUACUCACAAUGGAGACAGGAAACGUGUAGCUUCUGAUGUCAACUAAGUGAGCCUGCCAAUUGUGGCAAUGGAAGGAGGUGGCAUGUCGUCUCAUUCAUGAGGCUAUUAGUUUCAUAACAAACAUUUUCCAAUUGCAUGUCUUUUGUAAAGUGUUCAAACUGUUUUUUGAGCAAAGAAAUGAAAUUUCAAAGACUUUACCUAAUUUUACUUUUUUUCCGAUUGUAAU